AUCCUUGUGCACGGGCGUUAAGCGUUACAGUGAGGAUUCGUCCGAGUACGCUUUAUUGCUUGUUGAAAACUUUUUUUUGACCACUCCAUUUGGGCGUAGCCCGGAUGGGAAUUUUUGGCACCUUUCUCUCCCCUGCGAG
rnacentral:snRNA from 1 species